CUCUUUUCUCCAUCAGCCGAAACUUCUGAAAACGGUGCUAGCCCGACUCCAAGCAUCAGCUGAGUGUCCGCCAACUCGGCCGCAGCCAUCUUCCGCCGCCGCGGCGCGCAGCUCUAAAGAUUCUGCCUUUGUGGAGCCCCCAAAAUGGCUCAGACUUUCAGGAAGCUUCCCCAUCUUACUGCUUCUUUUCCAAAGAUGGCGUCCAUGUGCCUGAGGGCCAGUUCAUCAUUCUCAAAAUGGUACCAAGAUUGCUAUCAAAAAGUGAAGAAGCAAUUACAUCCUUGAUGGAAUGUAUAGAGUAACACGACAGAACAAAAAGAAGAAAUUGUGUUUCAAAUGUUUGUAUUGAUCAUUAGUUUGUCUAGUUAACUUAUUUCUAUAGGAUAUCCCAUUCACUGGCUUGGUGCUGACUAGCUAGAGAUCAUUGUGUUAAGACACAGGUCACACCCCUCUCCCUGGUAAAGAAGGUGCUGAGUAAGCUUCAUGCUAAAUGUACCACGCAAUUUAGCAGAAAGUAACUUAAACAUUUGAUGAUGAUGAUGAUGAUUAUGGUGAUGAUGAUGAUGAUGAUGAAAGUUAACAUUUGUUGAGAACCUACUGUGAGCUAGGUCCUGUACUAAGUGAGAAAGAAGGAAAAAGGAAAAAGUGGGUGACACAGAAUAUACAGAUGGAAAAGACAUAAUCACCUUCUAAGGGUCAGACUUACAUAAACAAAAGUUCUUAUAAUAAAAUGGGAGUUUUGAUUGAUGCAAAAUGUAGUGAAAGUGUAGAAGAUUUAAAGCCUAGUCCUGCCUAGAGAGGUUGAAGAAGGCUUUAUUAAAGGAGGAUUUAAUUAAAUUAGGUCCUGAAAUGUGAGUGGGAAUUUUCCAGGUGAGUAGUUGUGAGGAUAUAGUGAGCCAAUGUUGCAGAUACAAGUGAAAAGCGUACAUUGAAAGCAUGGAGGUGUGAGCCAGCAUAGCCAGAGAAGUGCAGGAGAUGAGACUGAAAAGGUGAGUUGAAGUCAGAGCCUUGUACACCUUGCUGAAGUAUGACUAUAUCCUCUCAGUAGCAGGGAACCAUUGAAGGUUUCUGAGUAGGCAUAUGACAUAAGAAUUAUUUGAAUUUCUAAAAAGAUAAUCCAGUUGCAGUGUUUGAGAUAGAUGGUAGAGAAAAGAGAUUAGAGACAAGAUAGUUUGGAGACAAGAUAGUUUGGAACUAUCCCAGUUUAUCUGAACUGGGAUAGUUCAGAUAAAAAUGAUAAGGGCCCAAACAGGCAGCAGCAUGAGGGUGAAAGGGAAGAUAUAGAUUCAAGAUAUUUUGGAGUUAGACUAUGUCUGGAGUUGGUGACUUAAUAGAUGUGUGGAGUCUGAGAGGGAGAUUGAUGAUGAUUGUAUUAGUCUGAUCUCACACUGCUAAUAAAGACAUACCUGAGACUGGGUAAUUUAUAAAGGAAAGAGGUUUAAUGGACUCACAGUUCCACGUGGCUGCAGAGGUCUGACAAUCAUGGCAGAAGGCAAAGGAGAAACAAAGGCGUGUCUCACAUGGCGGCAGGCAAGAGAGCUUGUGCAGGGGAACUCCCAUUUAUAAAACCAUCAGAUCUCAAGAGACUUAUUCACUACCACAAGAACAGUAUGGGGAAAACUGCCCCAAUGAUUCAAUUAUCUCCACCUUGACACGUGGGGAUUAUUACAAUCCAAGGUGAGAUUUGAGUGGGGACACAGCCAAACCAUAUCAAUGAUGAGGAUGAUGAUGAUGAUGAUUAUUAUUAUUAUUAUUAUUAUAUUAUUCAGUUUUUGUAUAUAGGUUUUUCACAAAGUAGGGUGUCUUUUCUCUGUGCUUCCAUGGUGCUUAGGCUUACCUCUGUCUCAGAACUCAUUCUACUGUAUCAUAUUUGUCUGACUGUUUUACUGGAUGAUAAGCUUCUUGAGGUCAGGAAUUAAAUAUAUUUUUUCAGGUCUAAGCAGUGCACCCAAUAAGCAUUAGAUUGAAUUGGAGUGGCCUUACUGAAAUAAACGGGGCAAAUCUGAACUUUUAGAAUGGAGCACUGGGUGAAUCACCACAUCUUUAACUAAAAUAUGAACUGCAGGAAGGGAAGUGAAUUUGGAAAGAUGUGAGUCCAUGGGUACAUAAUGAGCUAGUUAAGUUUAGGUGUCUGUGAGAGAUGUCCAGCAAGUGGUUGAUAAUAUGUAUUAGCAUUGAGACCAGUGCUUGGGAGAGAGGUAGGGGAUGAGGGGAAGAUAUUAUAUUAAUUUGAUGCCUGUAGAGUAGGCAAAAGUCUCUUUUAGAAGCUUAAUUAUCAGAUACCACAUGCAGGGUGAAAAAAUAAUAAUAGAAGCUUAAUUACUAAUUAAUGCUUUUCUCUGGAAUACUAAGCCAUAUAGAAAGAUAAAGAAAUGACUAAACUGUCAUGUCCUUCAAAUGAAGGAGGUAAGAAAAUAAAUAAUAUUCAUAAUUUUUCUGUAGUUUUUCAAUUAAAUAGUUUUGUCAUACAGCUGGUUAUUUUCCUGAUUAUAAAAUCUGUGCUUAUUUUUAGUAAAGGAAGAUUUUAAAAAUAUUCAUGAUUAUGAAUGUUAUUAUCUUACAUACUGGGGUGUUUUUUAGCUGAAUAGGUCAUUUGGGAUUUGCAAAGUGUGGAGAAGUUAGAGUUCCUGCAAUGGCUGCCCUUACUGAUAGGCAGAGUAAGUUCAUAACAUAGUAUGAUUUGGGAGUCCCAGUGCAGAAAAUUCUCCCCAAAAAGGUCCCUACCUUCUACUGCCAUCCUUCUCCUCAGACAUGAAAAUACAUCCUGCUUCCCAUCUCCGCAAGGCUGAACUAGAGGUUAGCUAAGUCUCUGCUAGUCCCUACAGAAGAUUCCCAUGCAUAUUCUACACAUACCCACGGCCACCAGGCACACUAGGACAUCACCAUCUGGGUAGUCAUUGAGCACUUUAAAUCUAAUAUGCACAAAACAAAAUUCAUCAUCUUCCAGUCACCCCAAAACCUGUUCUUACUUCCUCCUUUUUUAUCCAGGCACAAAACUUGGCUCAUCUUUCGCUUUUUCCCAUUGCUCAUAUUCUACAUCUUAAAGUUGCCACAUUCUGUGUAAUUUACCUUUCCUUUCCAUUCAUGUUAUCCCUGCCCUUAAUGAUUACCAUAAUUUGCCUCCAAUGUCUUCUUAUUCCUUUUUUUCAGUAAAAUGUUUCCUUUUCCUUUUCAUUUUAUUUUUUGUUUUUUAAUUUUUGUGGGUACAUAGUUGGCAUAUAUAUUUAUGGGGUACAUUAGAUGUUGUGAUACAGGCAUGCAAUGUGAAAUAAGCACAUCAUGGACAAUGGGGUAUCCAUCCUCUCAGGCAUUUAUACUUGAGUUACAAACAAUCCAAUUACACUCUAAGUUAUUUUAAAAUGUACAAUUAAGUUAUUAUUGACUAUAAUCACCCAUUUGUGCUGUCAAAUACUAGGCCUAUUUAUUCAUUCUAUUUUUUGUACCCAUUAAACAUCCCCACCUCCGCUCUAGCCACCCCCACUACCCUUCCCAGCCUCUUGUAAAUGGUCACCCAUCCUUCUACUCUCUAUGUCCAUGAGUUAAAUUGUUUUGAUUUUUAUAUCCCACAAAUAUGUGAGAACAUGUGAUGUUUGUCUUUCUGUACCUGGCUUAUUUCACUUAACAUAAUGACCCUCAGUCCCAUCCAUGUUACUGCAAAUGACUGAAUCUCAUUCUUUUUAUGACUGAAUAGUACUCCAUUAUAUGUUCUUUUUCUUCCUUUUAACCUGCUCUACAUUUUGCUGUGAAUGUAACCUUUCCAAAAUACAGUUUGGGGCAUAUAAUCCCUCUACUCAAAAGUCCUCAGUGGUAGCUGUUGGCUACUGAAUAAAGUACAAAAUAUUUCAUUCUCAUUGGGAGGGAGAUAAAGCUAGCAAAGGAAGUUACAGCAAGAAGUUAGGGAGUUCAGACUUGUCCCUGAGGUAAGUGGCAAGCCACUAGAAGUUUGUAGGCAGGGGAAAUUUAAAAACCUCAUCAAGUCAUCUUAUCCUUGGAGCUACUGCCUUAACCGGAAUAAAUGUAUCCUUGACUAUGGUAAUUCCAGACAUUAUGGCAGCCCAGGAAGGAGAACUAUAUCAUUUUCUCAAUUUAAUAGUACCUCUUCUUUUCCCCAGGAAUAAAAAGUGCCUCACUUCAUGCUUCAGUUGUUUCUGCUAAAACAACAAAUGUCCCCAGACAAUCUUUACCAGAUAUUCUGAGACAAGAGGCAAGUAACAUUUCUUUUGUACCAGAUGUAGAUAGAACAAAUGAAGUAUGAAAUUAUGAUCAAGAUU
rnacentral:lncRNA from 10 species